GAAAGAAAACUCCUUUUGAAGCAAGCCCUGUUUUUGGUUGUUAGCUAGCAAGCUACUUCCUGGUCCACGGACGCUGAUGAAUUCAUCAAGAGUAAACGGUGUUCACCAUGGCUCUCAAAACAUCAUCGAAGAGAGAAAACAGUACAAGGCAAAGCCGCAGCAGGCCGAGUAGCAACAAGAACUUUUCAAGUCAAGGCUGCGAGCUGUGAGUAGACAUACAGUCGGGAGUACAUGUAUCUGACUGCUUUUGCUUUUACCUGUAUACACACACCAAAAAAAAAAAAAAAACAACAUUCCUGCAGUCUCACAUGCAAAGGUUUAUACACAGGAUAGUUUGUUGGGUGUUGUGUGCAAGGAAAGAAGGGGGAAAAAAAAAACAAAAAAAAAACGAGCAAGCCGUUGUCCCCAGAGCAGCAGCCGACUUCACCUUGGCGGAGUAAUGCUGUGAUAUUCUGUUUAUUCUUCACUCACUUCAUUUUACUCAGAGGAAAUCCUCUGGAGAUGGCUUAUCUUGGAGCUGGAACAGGUGCACUCUAAUUUACUCCUAUUGCUUGGGGAGCCCAGGGGCCCCUGUAGAGAAGAAAGUAGCGAUGUAGCGCACUCCAACUGUAGAGCACAAACAGCCAGAGAAAGAGCAUUUAAUCGAAAAGAAAGGGGGUGG